rnacentral:lncRNA from 1 species
GGGUGCCAGAGCAGGAGAAAGAUCUUAGCAGAAAACAAAAAAGAAAAAACCUUCUAUGUACUGUUUUUUUCCACCAUUGGAUUGACCAGACAGGGCCACAAAGCUGAUACAACAGGAUUAGCAAAAUUGCAUUGUUGGACAUAGGCACAGCGUGACAUGUGCUACAGCAAAGGCAUUUGGCAGGAUUAACCUGCCAGGGAUAAAGAUGUAGCAGACAAGGGGCUGAAUUAAUGGACUGGCAUGACCAAAGCGGGGAAAUCUAUUUGCAUGCGAUAUUAACUGUGCUAAUAAACUCUGGGCCGGGCUUGGCAGGCCUGGCAGUCUUUUCUGAACCAGGAGUUUUUAUGUUAAAGCCCACCUGGAAGACACCAGUCCAGAUGGGCUAAGGCAAGCAGGCUUUACAGGUUGCCUUUAGGCUUGUCUGCCAUCGUUCUAGAAUAGACAGGCUAUCUUAAAUACCUGUAGCAGCAUGUGUGCCUACUGACUGUGCAGAAUGAUUCUAAUACCUCGGAGUUUUGGUGCCAAAGGAUCCUCUAUUUACAGGGUGAUUGUCUAUGAAAAACAAUGAAGAAAGCUAAGCACAACACACUCUGGAAAAUAUCUACUCGGAAGGGGUGGUUCUGCCUGAUUUGUGUUUUCUGAUUCCCUGAAAGUCAGAGUGAGACCAGGGUGAGCAAGCAGUACCACCCAGGAUAACAUUUCAGAGGUCCUCAUGGGACCAGCAUCUGACAGUGAGUGCUCACUCCCUUCCCCUAGUCCUGCUGAAAGUGAUCAUGGGAACAUUGUACGAUCUAUCCAUUCAAAAUUGGGGUGCACUUAAAUACACGAACACAGUCACGAAUGCACAGGUGAGUGUUGGGAGAUGGGGCUGGGAAGUGCUGUGAGAGGCUGGGCAGAUGAGAGGGGAGGGAACCAAUAACGAUGGGGCGAUAGGUCGGUGGGGACCUCUGCCAACCCUUGGGGGACAAGAGAGCAGGUAUUUGUCUACCAGCUCCUGUGCAUCACUCAUGAGGGAUGUGAACUUCCUUUCAUCCAACAGGCUGACCACACUCCUGCUCCUGUUCCUGACCCAAGGAAGCCCCCAUGCAGAGCACCCCUGUCCUCUCUGAAUGGGACCAGCAGCUGGAUACUGAGUACCAAUAGCGUCUGCCCUGAUUUCCUUUGAGGAUGGAGAGCAGAGCCAAGCUGCAGGGCCUGGUGUUCCAGCUGCUGUGCAGCCCUGGGCUGCCAGGGCACUCCGUGAUGGCCUUUGUCUUUAGCAUCACCAUCUCCUAAGACACAUAGAAGAGUGGGACAGUAACAGAAGGACACAAAAGAUACCGAAUCCGAGGAAGGCCCUGAAGGUCCAGUAACUUGCCUUAGGGACACAGGUGAAUCUUAGGAAGAGCCCUGGAGGGCAGCUGCCAGCCGAAGGGCAGGGCGGGGCGCUGUUUUCACCAUGACCACCUGAUCUCUUCUCGGCUCUGCUUGGUGUGCACGACUGCUCCACUCGUCCGCGUUAACUCUCAUGAUGUGUUUGGGAUGCGCUCCCCCUCUUUGUAGGACUGAGUCAGGGAGAUGUUCUCCCUCCUCGGAGGAUUCCAUUCUGAGCC